UACGAAGGGGGGCUAGCGUUGCUCGGAAUUACUGGGCGUAAAGCGCACGUAGGCGGCUUUCUAAGUCGGGGGUGAAAUCCUGGAGCUCAACUCCAGAACUGCCUUCGAUACUGGAAAGCUCGAGUCCGGGAGAGGUGAGUGGAACUGCGAGUGUAGAGGUGAAAUUCGUAGAUAUUCGCAAGAACACCAGUGGCGGAAGGCAGGCUCACUGGCCCGGUGACCUGACGCUGAGGUGCGAAAGCGUGGGGAGCAAACAGG
rnacentral:rRNA from 1 species